GAUGAAGAACGCAGCGAAAUGCGAUACUUGGUGUGAAUUGCAGAAUCCCGUGAACCAUCGAGUCUUUGAACGCAAGUUGCGCCCGAAGCCAUUAGGCCGAGGGCACGCCUGCCUGGGCGUCACACGUCGUUGCCCCCCCAUCUACUCCUUCGGGAUUGCGGGGGGCGGAUGAUGGCCUCUCGUGCGCCUCGUCGCGCGGUUGGCCUAAAUGCCAAGUCCUCGGCGACGCACGCCACGACAAUCGGUGGUUGCGAAACCUCGGUUGCCUGUCGUGUGCGGUCGUCGCGCAUCGAGGGCUCGAAAAAAUUGCCGGGCUUCGGCUCGACUUUCAACGCGACCCCAGGUCAGGCGGGGUUACCCGCUGAAUUUAAGCAUAUCAAUAAGGGAGGA
rnacentral:misc_RNA from 1 species